GUUGACUGUAGAAAAAGUAUAGCUUGUGGCAAUAGCUGUGUGCCAGUUUCUUAUACUGAGAUUGAUGGCAGCACAUACUCAGAUAAAGAGCUUAUUUUCCCUCCUGAGCUGUUUCGAAAGAAACUAAGUUAUUUGAAUUUGAGUGGGUUUAAUGGGAUUAAAUGGUUUCGGCCCACAACACUUCAAGAAGUGUUAGACUUGAAGGCCAGAUACCCCG
rnacentral:misc_RNA from 1 species